rnacentral:rRNA from 1 species
GUGCCAGCAGCCGCGGUAAUACGUAGGGGGCAAGCGUUGUCCGGAUUCAUUGGGCGUAAAGAGCGUGUAGGCGGCCAGGUAGGUCGGUUGUGAAAACUGGAGGCUCAACCUUCAGAGGUCGACCGAAACCAUCUGGCUAGAGUCCGGGAGAGGAGAGUGGAAUUCCUGGUGUAGCGGUGAAAUGCGCAGAUAUCAGGAAGAACACCCGUGGCGAAAGCGGCUCUCUGGAACGGUACUGACGCUGAGACGCGAAAGCGUGGGGAGCGAACAGGAUUAGAUACCCUGGUAGUCC